rnacentral:lncRNA from 1 species
UGCAGCUUAUGAGUCGGGCGCAGUCCUUGUUUUCGUGCCGACACCUUUUUCUGUUUUGGUGCUGCGUAACCCUAUUUUGGACCAAUGGCCCAUGUAUCAAGUUGAGUCCAUUAGGGACGCGUCCUAGGGUUGGAGGACGACUCUAGCACCCCUUUGGUCGUCCUCCCCUCUAUUUAUUUACAUCUAGAGCCGCCAUGAACAACUGGGUUUUGUUUAGAUCAAGUUUAGCCUUCGCUACUUGCUUGUAGGCGCGCGUGCAGGAUCAACCGCCCGUCUCCUUGUCUUCGGAACCCCAUUGUUGAUUCAGAUUCAGUUUGAAACCUUCAAUUCAUCUUGCAAAUUCAGUGCUUGUUUCCUCGUUCUUGCUAGUUCUUCGAUUGCUUGCAGGACGGGAGCCCUAGGGGCUGGUUGUCGCGCUCCACAAGAUCGUGACGGCUGUUGGACGUGGUGUAUCGGUUGCUAAGGCGCGGUCUUGAGGGCUGUAGUCGGGCCGUGAACGUCAUCUCCAUCCACUAAUCGAGUUAUCCAGCGCCUCUCAUCGAAAGAUCAGGCCGAAAACCCUAGUGGGUUUACAUCAGUUGGUAAUCAGAGCGAGGUUCUUCGGUGAGAGACUUCUAAUCCUUUGUUGUUUUUAAUUAAUUUCCUAUAGUCCAGAAAAGCCAAAAAAAAUAUAGUAGAUUAGUUUUUCCAUAAUCCUAUUAAACCUUUGUGCCUUGGCUAGUACCGUUUUAGUUAGGGCUUGUUGAAUUUGCGUUGCUUCGGUUUGUGUCGAGUUGCUGGCCUUAGUGUCUAGUCCUUUAGAGUUUCGAGUUCUUGUCACCAUCUAUACACAGCCGAGUAUUACCAUAUCUUCUCUCUGUCGAAUCUGUUGUGAAGUCCGAAUUGAACUGUGAUCCAAAAAAAAGAUAACUCCAUACUUGUUCGGCCUUACUCUAGAGAGAGAGAGAGAGAGAGAGAGAGAGAGUGUGUGUGUGUAGCGAAUUGCUCUUUUGUAUUCCUUUGUUCAUUAAUCAGUUUUUGAGGUUGCCCAAAAAAAAAGAAAAAAAAGAAAAAAAAAGAAAAGAGAAAAGAUUCAAAAGAAAAAAAGGGGCUGUUUUUCAUAUUGAUUUUAGGUUUCUUCCACCUUGUUUUCGGGGGUGUGGUGUGGUUUUCCUUUGUGUCCAGGCUCGCGUCUCUAGCACGGUCUAGCCUAGGACCAGCACAGUACCAUCGUCGAACGCUUAUUCAGCUCGCUUUUAUAACUAACGUGGUGCUAGUUCGUUCCUUGUUUCAGCCCACCUAUAGCUCCACAUACUCUACAGCUUGAUAGGUCUUGUGCUACAGCACCGAUACACUUCGUCCAUUGCUGUACACUUGUUGGCAGACGACCCCUCCUGUCAAGCAAGGUAAGAAUUGGUAAGAACUUGUGUUACAGGUUGAGUGUGAGCGACUUGCUGUAGCUACAUCCUAGUAGUUGUAGGGCUUUUAUUUCUUCACUUGUCUUUUUGUUGUCUUUGUCUUUGAACCAUGCCAGGGGCAGAUGAUGGUAACGAAACACAACUUACACCUCGCACUAAGGGCAUCAUACAACAUUUUGAAAGGAAAGUGAAGCUGCACACAGAGGGACUUGAUAACGACUUGCAGGUGACGAAUGAAAAGCUAGGGCAGUUGGAGGCUACGCAGAUUGUCACAAACAACAAGCUCACAAGUUUGGAGGAAUCCGUUGCUAGUGUGGACAAAAGCCUUGCUGCUCUCCUAAGGCGAUUUGAUGCUUUCCACACCGAAGAUAAAGAGAAGCAUAAAGAAGAAAAGGAGGGAGAUCGAGAGCACGGUAGUCAUGAAGAUGACUACAUUGGUGAUACUGAACAUGAUGAUCAAGACACUCGUGAUCGACGUCGCCUUCGUCACAACCGUAGAGGUAUGGGUGGCAACCGCCGACGCGAGGUACACAAUAAUGAUGAUGCUUUCAGUAAGAUUAAAUUUAAGAUACCCCCUUUUGAUGGUAAAUAUGACCCUGAUGCUUACAUCACUUGGGAGAUUGCUGUUGAUCAAAAGUUUGCAUGUCAUGAAUUUUGCUGAGACUACACGUGUUAGGGCUGCUACUAGUGAGUUUACAGAUUUUGCUUCUGUUUGGUGGAUAGAAUAUGGAAAGAAAAAUCCUAAUAACUUACCUAGAACUUGGGAUGCGCUGAAAAGGGCCAUGAGAGCUAGAUUUGUUCCAUCUUACUAUGCGCGUGAUAUGAUAAAUAAGUUGCAGCAGUUAAGACAAGGUGCUAAAAGUGUAGAAGAAUAUUAUCAGGAAUUACAAACGGGUAUGUUGCGUUGUAACCUAGAGGAGGAUGAGGAACCGGCUAUGGCUAGAUUUUUGGGUGGGUUAAAUCGGGAAAUUCAGGACAUCCUCGCUUACAAAGAAUACAAUAAUGUAACCCGUUUGUUUCAUCUUGCUUGUAAAGCUGAAAGGGAAGUGCAGGGACGACGUGCUAGCGCAAGGAGUAAUAUUUCUGCAGGGAAGGCUAAUUCAUGGCAGCAACACAUGGCUUCAACUCCAUCUACACGUAUUUCUACUCCAUCAUCUAGUGACAAGACUCGAGCUGCCCCCACCAAUUCAGUUGCGAAGACGAUGCAAAAGCCUGCUGCGAGUACUUCAUCCGUGGCAUCGACGGGUAGAACAAGCAACAUACAAUGUCACCGGUGCAAGGGAUAUGGGCACAUGAUGCGUGACUGUCCAAACAAGCGAGUUAUGAUUGUCAGGGAUGAUGGUGAGUACUCAUCUGCUAGUGAUUUUGAUGAGGAUACACUUGCACUGCUUGCGACUGACCAUGCAGGUAAUGAAGAUCAAAUAGAAGAACAUAUUAAUGCAGGUGAAGCGGACCACUAUGAGAGCUUGAUCGUGCAGCGAGUGCUUAGUGCACAAAUGGAGAUGGCGGAACAAAAUCAGCGACACAUUUUAUUCCAAACAAAGUGUGUCAUCAAAGAGCGUUCUUGUCGCAUGAUCAUUGAUGGAGGUAGCUGCAACAACUUGGCAAGCAGCGAUAUGGUGCAGAAGCUUGCCCUCAACACCAAGCCACACCCGCAUCCCUACUACAUCCAAUGGCUGAACAACAGUGGUAAGGCAAAGGUAACUAGACUUGUGAGAAUUAAUUUUUCCAUCGGAUCCUACAAAGAUAUUGUUGAAUGUGAUGUUGUGCCUAUGCAAGCUUGUAACAUUCUGCUAGGUAGACCUUGGCAAUUUGAUAGAGAUUCUAUGCAUCAUGGUAGGUCAAAUCAGUAUUCUUUUCUAUACCAUGAUCGCAAAAUUGUGUUGCAUCCUAUGUCCCCUGAAACUAUUAUGCAAACUGAUGUUGCUAGGGCUACUAAAGCAAAGAGCAAGAGCAAUAAAAAUGAUAAAUCUGUAAUUGGUAACAAAGAUUAGAUAAAACUGAAAGGACGUUGUAUGAUAGCUACCAAAUUAGAUAUUAAUGAGUUCAAUGCAUCCACUUCUGUUGCUUAUGCUUUGAUAUGCAAGGAUGCUUUGAUUUCAAUUGAGGAUAUGCAAUGUUCUUUGCCCCCUGCUGUUGCUAACGUUUUGCAGGAGUAUUCUGAUGUGUUUCCAAGUGAGGUACCAGCGGGGCUGCCUCCACUACGCAGGAUUGAGCACCAAAUUGAUCUUAUUCCUGGAGCAGUUUUGCCAAAUCGUGCACCAUACAGGACAAACCCGGAGGAAACAAAGGAAAUUCAGCGACAAGUGCAAGAACUACUAGACAAAGGUUAUGUCCGAGAAUCUCUUAGUCCUUGUGCUGUUCCAGUAAUUUUAGUGCCUAAGAAAGAUGGAACAUGGCGUAUGUGUGUUGAUUGUAGAGCUAUUAAUAAUAUCACCAUUCGAUAUCGACACCCUAUUCCACGAUUAGAUGAUAUGCUAGAUGAACUGAGUGGUGCUGUUGUGUUUUCAAAAGUUGAUUUACGUAGUGGGUACCACCAGAUUCGUAUGAAAUUGGGAGAUGAAUGGAAAACUGCUUUCAAAACUAAGUUCGGUUUGUAUGAGUGGUUAGUCAUGCCUUUUGGGUUAACUAAUGCACCUAGUACUUUCAUGAGAUUAAUGAACGAGGUUUUGCGUGCUUUCAUUGGGAAAUUUGUUGUCGUAUAUUUUGAUGACAUAUUGAUUUAUAGCAAAUCAUUGGAUGAACAUCUUGAUCAUUUACGUGCUGUUUUUAAUGCACUACGCGAGGCACGUUUAUUUGGUAACCUUGAGAAGUGCACCUUUUGCGCCGAUCGAGUGUCUUUUCUUGGUUAUGUUGUGACUCCACAGGGAAUUGAGGUUGAUCAAGCCAAGGUGGAAGCUAUACAGGGAUGGCCUGUCCCAAAUACUAUCACCCAGGUGCGGAGUUUCCUAGGACUUGCUGGAUUCUAUCGCCGUUUUGUGAAGGAUUUCAGCACCAUUGCUGCACCAUUGAAUGAGCUUACAAAGAAGGGGGUGCCUUUUGAUUGGGGCAAAGCACAAGAGAAUUCAUUCAACAUGUUGAAAGAUAAGUUAACUCAUGCACCUCUCCUACAACUUCCUGAUUUUAAUAAGACUUUUGAGCUUGAAUGUGAUGCUAGUGGAAUUGGUUUGGGAGGUGUUUUAUUACAAGAGGGAAAACCUAUUGCAUAUUUUAGUGAGAAAUUGAGUGGGCCUGUUCUCAAUUAUUCAACUUAUGAUAAAGAACUCUAUGCUCUUGUUAGAACAUUAGAGACAUGGCAGCAUUAUUUGUGGCCCAAAGAGUUUAUUAUCCAUUCUGAUCAUGAAUCUUUGAAACAUAUUCGUAGUCAAGGAAAACUGAAUCGUAGGCAUGCAAAAUGGGUUGAAUUUAUUGAAUCUUUUCCUUAUAUUAUUAAGCACAAGAAAGGGAAGGAAAAUAUUAUUGCUGAUGCUUUAUCACGGAGAUAUACUUUGCUGAAUCAACUUGAUUACAAGAUAUUUGGGUUAGAAACAAUUAAAGACCAAUAUGUUCAUGAUGCUGAUUUUAGAGACGUGUUGCUGCAUUGUAAAGAUGGAAAAGGGUGGAAUAAAUUCAUCGUUAGUGAUGGGUUUGUGUUUAGAGCUAACAAGCUAUGCAUUCCAGCUAGUUCUGUUCGUUUGUUGUUGUUGCAGGAAGCGCAUGGAGGUGGCUUGAUGGGACAUUUUGGAGCAAAGAAGACCGAGGAUAUACUUGCUGGUCAUUUCUUUUGGCCAAGGAUGAAGUGAGAUGUGGAGAGGUUUGUUGCUCGUUGCACAACAUGUCAAAAGGCAAAAUCACGGUUAAAUCCCCACGGUUUGUAUUUACCUCUUCCUGUUCCUAAUGCUCCUUGGGAGGAUAUAUCUAUGGAUUUUGUGUUGGGACUACCAAGGACUAGGAGGGGACGUGAUAGUGUGUUUGUGGUUGUUGAUAGAUUUUCUAAGAUGGCACAUUUCAUACCAUGUCAUAAAACUGAUGAUGCUACAAAUAUUGCUGAUUUGUUCUUUCGAGAAAUUGUUCGCUUACAUGGUGUGCCCAACACAAUUGUUUCUGAUCGUGUCGACGAAAGCUGGUCGGCAGUCUACCUUGGGGUAUACCCACGGUAGUAGUUUAUCGGUAGACGGUGCGCAAACUACGAACUCGAUGGUGACGCAAGACACGGACAAGCUUUUUAUCCAGGUUCGGCCGCCGAGUUGGCGUAAUACCUACGUCCUGCGUCUGGUUGUAUUGGAUUGUGUUGAGAGAUAAUCUCAUGACUUGUCCUCUAGGGGACCCCUGCCCCUCCUUAUAUAUCCUGAAGGGACAGAGUUACAAGCAAAGUAUCCUAUUUGGUACAAAAUCUUGUAGCCUUGCGGUGCACGCCGACCAGUCGUGCGCCGCACGUCUUCAUCUUGUGGGCCGAGCCACCUCUGAUGGUGCGGCCCAUAUAGGCCCAUGAGGGUAUAGGGGUUUAUACCCCCACAGCUAGUCCCCGAGCACCAUGUAUUGUGAUGUAACACGCCGUCUUGAGCUUCUUCGAUCAGCGAGGCUUGACGUCUUCAAUAAACAGAAAAGUCGCCCAAACAGUUGCAAUGGUAUUUUGACCAACUCAAAAGACAGUUGAUCAACAUUGACAUCAAAGAAGCAGGUUGUUCGAAGAAUGCAUGGUGCUCCAAAUUAAAAAAGAUUUCUUUCCUGGUGAAGUGUGCCCACUUUACUUUUCUGAAAAGUAUAGUCUUUCAAAAAGCAAGCACAUUCACCGCAAGGUGAAGUGUGCCCACUUAGUCCCCGAGCCUGGUAGUAGGUGACGUAGGCAAGUGGUGCCAGGGUCAAAAGAAAAGUCCUCAAAGAAAUUCUGAAACUGAGAUGCAUCGCCAGAUGCAUCGUACCGAUGUAGUCCCCGAGCUUGCUGGAAGGCGAAGUAUGAGCCUUGUAGCAAGGUCUAAAAAAUUGAAUUUACCAGUCCCCGAGCAUAUCAUGCUCGUAUGCAAUUGAAUAGACUAAUCGACCAGUCCCCGAGCAUAGAACGCUCGGUGGUCGGUACAGUCCCCGAAUUCUCAAAUUGGUGGGCUGGUCGACCAGUCCCCGAGCGUAUAGUGCUCGGUGGUCGGUGCAGUCCCCAAGCUCUUAAAUUGGUGAGCUGGUCGACCAGUCCCCGAGCGUAUAGUGCUCGGUGGUCGGCACAGUCCCCGAGCACGGCGUAGGGACCGGUGGACAAGUCCCCGAGCGUGGUUGGGAACGUAAACGUGCUCGGUGGUCGGCACAGUCUUCGAGCAUAGCAUAGAGAGCAGUCGACAAGUCCCCGAGCGUGGUUGGGAACGUAAACGUGCUCGGUGGUCGGAGCAGUCCCCGGGCACAGCGUAGGGAAUAGUCGACGAGUCCCCGAGCGUAGCUUGUCGACUGGGCCAAACCCCUGAAAAAUAAAUAUAAAGAAUAGGUAGUACAUGAUGUAUAAAUAAACUUUAGAUAAAAAUCAGUACUGAGAUAAGUUUUAGAUUUUUUGUUAUAAAAUUAGCACAAGUAGUUAAUUCAUCCUAGAGCUUGUACCAGCUCUGGUCUAGCCAACAAUCAGCAUGAGGUGCGGAACCUAGGCAUGCGUAGGAUUGUCAGCCACGUCAGAGAGUACUGCCGACCACCCGGAACGCAGAGGGCGGAUCUCGUGCACGUGUAGGGAGGAGUCGGAGACAAUACCGGCUCUGGAAAGCUCGUGUAGGAGAAAAAACUAGUCGGCUAAAAAAGUUGUUUUGAAGAAUAAUAAAAAAUAUUAUGCCAAAAAUAAAUAAGAUAUUAGAAGUGUACUUAUCUUUGGAUGAAAGUCUAGUCGGUGACGACAAAAUUGUCCGGCCCUCGAGCUUUUCGACUUGUCAUGACGGUGGUCGCUGUUGUCGUAGCGUCGUUCUUCGCGGCGAUUAUUAUUGCGACUGGUGGUCAGAGCAAGUAGGCUAAACAAUUUGGUCGAUGGCCCGAGCAGGUCGGUGUUGUCGAUCUGCCUCUCUUUGUAGCAGGGAAGCGGGUGACGCGUUGUCGGCGUGGUCGGAGACGUUGCUGGAGUAGUCGGAGUCGUAGCCAGCGUGGUUGAAGCCGCCGCCGACGUCGAUGAAGAAGUGGUUGGCGCAGAUCGGAUCUACACCUCCUCCGUGGUCAUGGCGGUGAAGUUGUUGAAGCUGACGGUGAACGUGAAGUCGCCCGCCAUGGCCGCGAAGUCGGGGAUGAUGGCCAUCUUGUUCGUCGGGAGAGCUGUACGCACACCCCCUACCUGGCGCGCCGCUGUCGACGAAAGCUGGUCGGCAGUCUACCUUGGGGUAUACCCACGGUAGUAGUUUAUCGGUAGACGGUGCGCAAACUACGAACUCGAUGGUGACGCAAGACACGGACAAGCUUUUUAUCCAGGUUCGGCCGCCGAGUUGGCGUAAUACCUACGUCCUGCGUCUGGUUGUAUUGGAUUGUGUUGAGAGAUAAUCUCAUGACUUGUCCUCUAGGGGACCCCUGCCCCUCCUUAUAUAUCCUGAAGGGACAGAGUUACAAGCAAAGUAUCCUAUUUGGUACAAAAUCUUGUAGCCUUGCGGUGCACGCCGACCAGUCGUGCGCCGCACGUCUUCAUCUUGUGGGCCGAGCCACCUCUGAUGGUGCGGCCCAUAUAGGCCCAUGAGGGUAUAGGGGUUUAUACCCCCACAGAUCGUGAUGCUAAAUUUCUUAGUCAUUUUUGGAAGACUUUGUGGUUCAAAUUGGGGACUAAGCUUUUAUUUUCCACCACUUGUCAUCCCCAAACUGAUGGUCAAACUGAAGUUGUUAAUAGAACUUUAUCCACUAUGUUAAGGGCUGUUUUAAAGAAGAAUAUUAAGAUGUGGGAAGAAUGUUUGCCUCAUAUUGAGUUCGCCUAUAAUCGUUCAUUGCAUUCUACUACAAAAAUGUGUCCUUUUGAGGUUGUCUAUGGCUUCUUGCCACGUGCUCCUAUUGAUUUAAUGCCUUUGCCAAGUUCUGAAAAAAUAAAUUAUGAUGCUAAGCAACGUGCUGAAUUGAUGUUAAAAUUGCAUGAAGCGACUAAACAAAACAUAGAGCGCAUGAAUGCUAAGUACAAAUGCGCUGGAGAUAAAGGUAGAAAGCAAUUGAUUCUGGAACCUGGGGAUUUGGUUUGGUUGCAUUUGCGAAAAGAUAGAUUUCCAGAACUGAGAAAAUCCAAAUUGAUGCCUAGAGCUGAUGGUCCUUUUAAAGUGCUGCAACGAAUUAAUGAGAAUGCAUAUAAGCUUGAUCUUCCUGCAGAUUUUGGGGUUAGUCCCACAUUUAACAUUGCAGAUUUGAAGCCUUAUUUGGGUGAGGAAGAUGAACUUGAGUCGAGGACAACUCAAAUGCAAGAAAGGGAGGAUGAUGAGGACAUCAACACCAGCGAUACAUAUCCUACAUCCUCUCCGACACAACCUGUAGCUGGUCCUCUUACUCGUGCUCGAGCCCGUCAACUCAACCUUCAAGUAAGUUCAGCUUUAAACCCUUGUCAAUCAUAUUUAGACAAUGGAGACACGUGCACUUUCGUGUUGCUCAGGAAUAAUGGACAAGAUCAGCAAGGGAAGGUUCAACUGCAUUCAGAAUUUGAGGCAACACCAACUUCAAGGGCUGAUUGCAUAUGGGAAGAGUGAUAACUUAACAAAGGUGAUUGGAGAUUAGGUCCAAGCCUCCACAACGUCCUCUAUCAAGUUACCACGUCGCUUCUAAAGCAAGGAAACAAAGAGUCCAAACCCAACACGUUUUGGGAGUUGGAUUCGGACUGGAAAAUAACUCUAACUUGUAUUGAUCACCACGGCGUCAUAUGGACUCCAACUGGGACGUUCCUAUACUUGUUGGAAAGCUCAUGAAGUCUAGUUUCCAAUGGGUCCAACCACAUAUCUAUGCAGCUUAUGAGUCGGGUGCAGUCCUUGUUUUCGUGCCGACACCUUUUUCUGUUUUGGUGCUGCGUCACCCUAUUUUGGACCAAUGGCCCAUGUAUCAAGUUGAGUCCAUUAGGGACGUGUCCUAGGGUUGGAGGACGACUCUAGCACCCCUUUGGUCGUCCUCCCCUCUAUUUAUUUACAUCUAGAGCCGCCAUGAACAACUGGGUU